rnacentral:lncRNA from 1 species
UGAGCCUGACCGAAGUAGGGAAACACCCUAUCAAAGCGGGACUAAAACAACUCAUUUUGGUCCCAAAAGUUAUCUCCCCACUCGUCGAAAUGUCAGGCCCGCGCGGAACGAUUCUUGUCUUAUUUUCUGCUCUCUACGUCUCGGCAGUCAUUCUGGGGACGGUAAAUGCUGCACCGCAAGAGAUUCCUGGCUUUGGUUUCGCACGUGCGUUUGGAAAUAGGAUUAGAGAGCAGAUUCCUGCAGGCUUUAGCAUCGCGCGCACGUUUGGAGAUACAAUUAAAGAUCAGAUUGACAUGGCGACAAGGCUUUUGGAACAAUUCGAGGCCUUUAUGUUUAAGUACGGAAAAUCGUACGCCUCGACCGCAGAAAAGCUAUUGAGAUUCGAAAUUUUCAAAGAUAAUCUCAAAUUUAUCGAUUUGAUGAACGCCCAGUCCGAUGGGUCGGUGAAGUAUGGCGUCAACUCACUUGCGGAUAUGUCUUGUAAGUUACCAAUGGACGUUCUCAAGCUUAUCUUAUUUUAGCAUAGACAAUUUUGCGUUUUGAACUACGGAGCUACGCGCCGUUAGGCUCCGAAACCCCUCAAUUUCAAAACUGAAUAUUUUUUUGGCUCCUAAAACUAUGAAAAAUGACACUUGAGAGCCUCUUCUGCUUGGUGGUGCACCUCCCACUGGAAUUUUACAAACGACUCGAGUCAAAUAGAGAGGAAGUAGUCAACGUCUUGAAAUGAUGGACGUAAGAGCAUAGCCACGGAAAAAGAAUUAAGCCCAGAUCACACGACAGCCGAUUUCGUGAAAAUGACUCAUCGAUGCCGCUGAUGACUGUUGAUUACUGAAAAUAGCGCGGCCCAAGCUAUUUUCACGAUGAUCGAUGAGGUCGGGAAGCAACAGCAGAAUCGUCCAAGCAAGUAAAGUGAACGUAAGAAUACCAUCCAUUACUUAUUUGUAAUUUGAAUUAACAACUUACAUAUUAAAAAAAGCUAGAAAUAAGCGCGACGAAAUUCACUAUAAUAAAAAAUGUUUUUUGU